CGUUGAUGUGCCGUACGUUCCCUGUAGGCUUGGGAUGAUAAAAUCCUAUUUAACGUUGAUAAGUGUGGAUAAUCAGAACUUUAGAAGUCGUUUGUUCCAGAAGAUAUAUUUGGCGGUAUUGUUCCUAAUCUUUACGUACGGUAAUAGCACUUGCACAAUUCUAUUAUUUAUUCCAGGAAAAAAAAUAAUAUCUGACGUUAUUGGAUUUUGUGAUGUUUGCUUGUUGUAUCUAAUUUGGAUGUUUUUCUUCUUUUUUGUUUUUGUUUUAUUUGUUUUUUGUUUUGUUUUGUAUUUGUUUUUUUUGUUUUUGUAUUUUUUAUUUGGGGUGUAUUUCUGUUAUUUUUUGUGUAGAACAUAUUUAUAAUCACUUACUAUAAAGCUACUCGCUCCUCUCACUUCUUGGAAAAUAUAUAGCUAAUAUUGAUUAAAUUACUGAUUGUGUUUUUUAUAGAAUAAAUUUACCAUUUCAAUAAUCUAAAG
rnacentral:lncRNA from 1 species